rnacentral:sRNA from 1 species
UCCUGGAUUUGUACGGUCAUCGUCGCGG